rnacentral:lncRNA from 1 species
CCUUUUACACAUAUAUAUAGUCGGAGGAAAUAAGUCAAAAAGCUAAACGCCAAACGCUAUUUUGAUGAAAUGCUGCGAUAUGGAAAUCGCGUUUUGCGUUUGACUUCUGGUUUCAUCUUGUUUACGAAACUCGGGCUUGAGCUGGUGGGAUCGAGAGCAUUUAGACGAGAAGGCGAGGUUGAGUCCAUCGGUCGAUUCGUCUGGAUCGGGAUGGAGAGUUGAAGUCUGGGAUUGAAAUUGCUGAUCGAGCAGACUGUUUGCGUCCAGCAGUGGAUUUGAGCUUCAUGGGUCAUGGUUGCAGGCUGGGCGUCUAGAGCUACGGAUCGAGCGGCUCGUUAUGUCCAAGUGGUCGCUUUGCUCAGCUCGGGAUGGAGGAUCAAUGGCUGGCUCGAGGGCACCGAAUCGAGCACGUCGGAGAAGAGCCAUCGACCACUUCGUCUUCUUCGUUCCUCAACUUCUCAGUUUAUUGCAAAUUUGCAAAACAGAUCCCUGAGAUCUGUGCCUCUUUCCUUUUCGACCCCAUAACUUCCAUUUGUGCAGAUUAACCCUUAGCUUAGACCCAAUACUUCUAAUUCUGUACUCCAGCCCCUGUAACCUGAAUAAACUCUAAAGAACACAGAAAGACUCCAAAAUGACCAAAAUACAUAAUAAAAACUAAUCAACUUAGCUAGAAAUCAA